GACGAACGCUGGCGGCGUGCUUAACACAUGCAAGUCGAACGGAAAGGCCCUGCUUUUGUGGGGUGCUCGAGUGGCGAACGGGUGAGUAACACGUGAGUAACCUGCCCUUGACUUUGGGAUAACUUCAGGAAAAUGGGGCUAAUACCGGAUAGGAGCUCCUGCUGCAUGGUGGGGGUGGGAAAGUUUCGGCGGUUGGGGAUGGACUCGCGGCUUAUCAGCUUGUUGGUGGGGUAGUGGCUUACCAAGGCUUUGACGGGUAGCCGGCCUGAGAGGGUGACCGGCCACAUUGGGACUGAGAUACGGCCCAGACUCCUACGGGAGGCAGCAGUGGGGAAUAUUGCACAAUGGGCGGAAGCCUGAGGCAGCAACGCCGCGUGCGGGAUGACGGCCUUCGGGGUGUAAACCGCUUUCGCCUGUGACGAAGCGUGAGUGACGGUAAUGGGUAAAGAAGCACCGGCUAACUACGUG
rnacentral:rRNA from 1 species